GGGCCCGCACAAGCGGUGGAGUAUGUGGUUUAAUUCGAUGCAACGCGAAGAACCUUACCAGGGUUUGACAUCCUGCGAAUCUCUUGGAAACAGGAGAGUGCCUUCGGGAACGCAGUGACAGGUGGUGCAUGGCUGUCGUCAGCUCGUGUCGUGAGAUGUUGGGUUAAGUCCCGCAACGAGCGCAACCCACGUCUUUAGUUGCCAGCAUUAAGUUGGGCACUCUAGCGAGACUGCCGGUGAUAAGCCGGAGGAAGGCGGGGAUGACGUCAAGUCCUCAUGGCCCCUUAUGGGCUGGGCUACACACGUGCUACAAUGGCAGUGCAGAGGGACGCUACCCAGGUGACUG
rnacentral:rRNA from 1 species